rnacentral:rRNA from 1 species
AUUGAACGCUGGCGGCAUGCUUUACACAUGCAAGUCGAACGGCAGCGCGGGCUUCUGCCUGCCCGCGUGUGGCGAACGGGCGAGUAAUGCAUCGGAACGUGCCCAGCAGUGGGGGAUAGCCUGACGAAAGCCGGACUAAUACCGCACACGACCUGAGGGUGAAAGCGGGGGAUCGAAAGGCCUCGCGCGUUUGGAGCGGCCGACGUCGGAUUAGCUAGUUGGUGGGGUAAAGGCUUACCAAGGCGACGAUCCAUAGCUGGUCUGAGAGGACGACCAGCCACACUGGGACUGAGACACGGCCCAGACUCCUACGGGAGGCAGCAGUGGGGAAUUUUGGACAAUGGGGGAAAGCCUGAUCCAGCCAUGCCGCGUGCGGGAAGAAGGCCUUCGGAUUGUAAAACGCUUUUGUUCGGGAAGAAAACCUGUGGGCUAAUACCCCGGGGGGAUGACGGUACCGGAAGAAUAAGCACCGGCUAACUACGUG